rnacentral:rRNA from 1 species
AAAGGAGUGCUAAUACCGCAUGAUGCAGUUGGGUCGCAUGGCUCUGACUGCCAAAGAUUUAUCGCUCUGAGAUGGCCUCGCGUCUGAUUAGCUAGUAGGCGGGGUAACGGCCCACCUAGGCGACGAUCAGUAGCCGGACUGAGAGGUUGACCGGCCACAUUGGGACUGAGACACGGCCCAGACUCCUACGGGAGGCAGCAGUGGGGAAUAUUGGGCAAUGGGCGCAAGCCUGACCCAGGGGGGGCAACGCCGCGUGAAGGAAGAAGGCUUUCGGGUUGUAAACUUCUUUUGUCGGGGACGAAACAAAUGACGGUACCUGACGAAUAAGCCACGGCUAACUAC